rnacentral:rRNA from 1 species
CCUACGGGAGGCAGCAGUGAGGGAUAUUGGUCAAUGGGCGCGAGCCUGAACCAGCCAAGUAGCGUGAAGGAUGACUGCCCUACGGGUUGUAAACUUCUUUUAUAAAGGACUAAAGUGAGGCACGUGUGCCUUUUUGUAUGUACUUUAUGAAUAAGGAUCGGCCAACUCCGGGCCAGCAGCCGCGGGAAUACGGAGGAUCCGAGCGGUAUCCGGAGUUAUUGGGGUGAAAGGGAGCGGAGAUGGGUUGUUAAGUCAGUUGUGAAAGUUUGCGGCUCAACCGUAAAAUUGCAAUUGAUACUGGCAGUCUUGAGUACAGUUGAGGUAGGCGGAAUUCGUGGUGUAGCGGUGAAAUGCUUAGAUAUCACGAAGAACUCCGAUGGCGAAGGCAGCCUACUAAACUGCCACUGACAUUGAUGCUCGAAAGUGUGGGUAUCAAACAGGAUUAGAUACCCUAGUAGUC